rnacentral:rRNA from 1 species
UCAGGACGAACGCUGGCGGCGUGCUUAACACAUGCAAGUCGAACGGGAGUAUUGAAGAAGCUUGCUUUAGAGAUACUUUAGUGGCGGACGGGUGAGUAACGCGUGAGGAGCUGUCCUAUGCAGGGGGACAACAGCUGGAAACGGCUGCUAAUACCCCAUAAGCCGAGAGGUAAAAGGAUCAAUCCGGCAGAGGAGGUACUCGCGUCCUAUCAGCUAGUAGGUGAGGCAACGGCUCACCUAGGCGAAGACGGGUAGCCGGCCUGAGAGGGCGAACGGCCACACUGGAACUGAGAUACGGUCCAGACUCCUACGGGGGGCAGCAGUGGGGAAUAUUGGGCAAUGGGGGAAACCCUGAACCCCCAGCGACGCCGCGUGGGUGAAGAAAUCCUUCGGGAUGUAAAGCCCUGUUGUAUGGGAAGAGCGGAAGACGGUACCAUACGAGGAAGCCCCGGCAAACUACGUGCCAGCAGCAGC